GACAGAGGGUGCAAACGUUGUUCGGAUUUACUGGGCGUAAAGCGCGUGUAGGCGGCUUGGCAAGUCGGGAUGUGAAAGCCCACGGCUCAACCGUGGAAGCGCAUCGAAACUGCUUCGCUCGAGUCUCGGAGAGGAAGGUGGAAUGCUUGGUGUAGAGGUGAAAUUCGUAGAUAUCAAGCAGAACACCUGCGGCGAAGGCGGCCUUCUGGACGAUGACUGACGCUGAGACGCGAAAGCGUGGGGAGCAAACAGG
rnacentral:rRNA from 1 species